GGUGUUUCUCUUGGGGAGCUGAGCGGCUCCUCAGCGCUGCCUGGAGUCAGACUUCACCACUUCCACUGCUUGGUAUGUACCCAGAUGUCUGAGGAGGCUCUGAGGAUGAAGUCUUGGCCUUGAACCCCACCAGUAUGUCAGAGCCAGCAGAAAAUUGCUCCCCCCGCUGGAAAGAUGAGGCCAUUCAAAAUGG